GUCAAACGACAGGGGAGCGCUUCGGCGCUGAGAGUGCGGGCAACCGCAGACCCUCACACCUGAUCCGGUUCGCACCGGCGUAGGGAGUCGAGUUCUCAGGUGG
rnacentral:ncRNA from 2 species